CCAGACUCCUACGGGAGGCAGCAGUGGGGAAUAUUGCACAAUGGGGGAAACCCUGAUGCAGCGACGCCGCGUGAAGGACGAAGUAUUUCGGUACGUAAACUUCUAUCAGCAGGGAAGAAAAUGACGGUACCUGACCAAGAAGCCCCGGCUAACUACGUGCCAGCAGCCGCGGUAAUACGUAGGGGGCAAGCGUUAUCCGGAUUUACUGGGUGUAAAGGGAGCGUAGACGGCCGUGCAAGUCUGAUGUGAAAACCCGGGGCUCAACCCCGGGACUGCAUUGGAAACUGCAUGGCUGGAGUGUCGGAGAGGCAAGUGGAAUUCCUAGUGUAGCGGUGAAAUGCGUAGAUAUUAGGAGGAACACCAGUGGCGAAGGCGGCUUGCUGGACGACGACUGACGUUGAGGCUCGAAAGCGUGGGGAGCAAACAGGAUUAGAUACCCCCGUAGC
rnacentral:rRNA from 1 species